rnacentral:lncRNA from 10 species
GUGUGAUUUCAUUAUGAAGUCAGAUGGAAUGAGGAGUGUGUAAAUCCAGAAUCAGAAUCCCAGCGACGAAGCUUUUCUUGCUCUGUUACCUUGGAAAAUGCUUUGAACCAGACCAGAUAAGAAAAGUAAAAGUCUGGAGUGUAAUCCUUCCAAUUGUCUUUUGGCUUCUCUUCUACUUCUACAAAAAGUUCAACAAGUCGGUGGGCAGAAGUCUAAAAUCAAGGUGUCAGCAGUGUGGAAUCCUUCUGGAGGCUUUGAGAAAUUAGAAUUUGAAACAACGGAAAGAGAGAAAUUUUAGGUUAGUAGCUAAAUCCCCAAGGAUACUAAUUAGAGAAAGAUGUUGGAAUUGCCUUAAUGAGUCACUGCCAACGCAAGUCCUAAGGAAGCAAAGACUGUGAGUAAGCAAAGGUAGCCAGCUGCUGGGAAGAGGACAAUAGAGGAAAAGGUCAGAGGGACUUUAAAAGACUGACUGUGGGCUCCCUGAGGGAAGGAGGGAUGGAGAGAGUAUCGGGUCCUAUAGAAUACCUUAAUUGUUUUUAUGACUUCUCUUUUCCAUAUCCAGUUCACAUGUACUCCUUUCUGUGCAUUAAAUUGAGUUUCUAUUGGCUUCUUUGUAACAAAAAGAACUGAACAGAAACACAUAUCUAUUGGACAAAG